rnacentral:rRNA from 1 species
UGCUUACACAUGCAGUCGAACGGUAACAGGUGUAGCAAUACAUGCUGACGAGUGGCGGACGGGUGAGGAAUGCUUGGGAAUCUGCCUGUUAGUGGGGGACAACCCGGGGAAACUCGGGCUAAUACCGCAUACGCUCUACGGAGGAAAGCGGGGGACCGUAAGGCCUCGCGCUAACAGAUGAGCCCAAGUCGGAUUAGCUAGUUGGUGGGGUAAAAGCCUACCAAGGCGACGAUCCGUAGCUGGUCUGAGAGGACGAUCAGCCACACUGGGACUGAGACACGGCCCAGACUCCUACGGGAGGCAGCAGUGGGGAAUAUUGGACAAUGGGGGCAACCCUGAUCCAGCAAUGCCGCGUGUGUGAAGAAGGCCUGCGGGUUGUAAAGCACUUUUGGCAGGGAUGAAAAGCACUGGAUUAAUAACCCAGUGUGUUGACCUAACCUGCAGAAGAAGCACCGGCUAACUCUGUGCCAGCAGCCGCGGUAAUACAGAGGGUGCAAGCGUUAAUCGGAAUUACUGGGCGUAAAGCGCGCGCAGGCCGUCGAGUAAGUCGGAUGUGAAAUCCCCGGGCUUAACCUGGGAAUUGCAUUCGAUACUGCUUGGCUAGAGUGUGGAAGAGGGAAGCGGAAUUUCCGGUGUAGCGGUGAAAUGCGUAGAUAUCGGAAGGAACACCAGUGGCGAAGGCGGCUUCCUGGUCCAACACUGACGCUGAGGCGCGAAAGCGUGGGGAGCGAACAGGAUUAGAUACCCUGGUAGUCCACGCUGUAAACGAUGAGAACUAGAUGUUG